UGCUGGAUAGCUCAGUCGGUAGAGCAUGAGACUCUUCCUCAGGGUUGUGAGUUCGAGUCUCACGUUGGGCUAA